rnacentral:misc_RNA from 1 species
GAAAUGCGAUAAGUAAUGUGAAUUGCAGAAUUCAGUGAAUCAUCGAAUCUUUGAACGCACAUUGCGCCCGCCAGUAUUCUGGCGGGCAUGCCUGUUCGAGCGUCAUUUCAACCAUCAAGCCCCCGGCUUGUGUUGGGGACCUGCGGCUGCCCGCAGGCCCUAAAAAACAGUGGCGGGCUCGCUGUCACACCGAGCGUAGUAGCAUACAUUCUCGCUCAGGGCGUGCUGCGGGUUCCGGCCGUUAAACGACCUUCAUAACCCAAGGUUGACCUCGGAUCAGGUAGGAAGACCCGCUGAACUUAAGC